UAAUACGGAGGAUCCGAGCGUUAUCCGGAUUUAUUGGGUUUAAAGGGUGCGUAGGUGGUUUUUUAAGUUAUAGGUGAAAGCUCGACGCUCAACGUCGAAAUUGCCUUUAAUACUGAAGAACUAGAGACCAGUUGCAGAAGGCGGAAUGUGUGGUGUAGCGGUGAAAUGCUUAGAUAUCACACAGAACACCGAUUGCGAAGGCAGCUUUCUAAGCUGGUUCUGACACUGAGGCACGAAAGCGUGGGGAGCGAACAGGAUUAGAUACCCUGGUAGUCCACGCCGUAAACGAUGAUAGCUCGAUGUCGGCGAUAUACAGCCGGUGUCUAAGGGAAACCGAUAAGCUAUCCACCUGGGGAGUACGUUCGCAAGAAUG
rnacentral:rRNA from 1 species